GAUUAACGCUGGCGGCGUGCAUGACACAUUCAAGUCGAACGGAGUAAAGGGCUUCGGUCCUUUACUUAGUGGCGGACGGGUGAGUAACGCGUGAGCAAUCUACCUCUGGGUACGGAAUAACAACCGGAAACAGUUGCUAAUACCGUAUGAAAUAGCAGUGUCGCAUGACACAACUAUCAAAGAUUUAUCGCCAAGAGAUGAGCUUGCGUCCGAUUAGAUAGUUGGUGGGGUAACGGCCCACCAAGUCGACGAUCGGUAGCCGGACUGAGAGGUUGAACGGCCACAUUGGAACUGAGAUACGGUCCAGACUCCUACGGGAGGCAGCAGUGGGGAAUAUUGGGCAAUGGGCGAAAGCCUGACCCAGCGACGCCGCGUGAGGGAAGAAGAUCUUCGGAUUGUAAACCUUAGUCAACAGGGAAGAAGAAAGUGACGGUACCUGUGGAGGAAGCCACGGCUAACUACGUGCCAGCCGCCGCCGUAAGAC
rnacentral:rRNA from 1 species